rnacentral:rRNA from 1 species
AUUGAACGCUGGCGGCAGGCUUAACACAUGCAAGUCGAGCGGUAACAGGCCUUCGGGUGCUGACGAGCGGCGGACGGGUGAGUAACGCGUAGAAAACUGCCCGGUAGUGGGGGAUAGCCCAGAGAAAUUUGGAAUAAUACCGCAUACGCUCUACGGAGGAAAGCGGGCUUUCGGCUCGCGCUAUCGGAUGUGUCUGCGUGAGAUUAGCUAGUUGGUGAGGUAAUGGCUCACCAAGGCGACGAUCUCUAGCUGGUCUGAGAGGAUGAUCAGCCACACUGGGACUGAGACACGGCCCAGACUCCUACGGGAGGCAGCAGUGGGGAAUAUUGCACAAUGGGGGAAACCCUGAUGCAGCCAUGCCGCGUGUGUGAAGAAGGCCUUC